GUGCGGGACCGCCGGAAAGGCCGGCGGGAACGACGCUCCACGGGCAUGGUGCAGAACGCAGAGGGCGACGAGACCGAGGAGCCGGAGCAGCUGAAUGACACCGCCCCGGGAUCCAGGUACCUGCCGGCCGGGAGCUCCAGCACGUCCGACCACUUGAACAGCCUCCU